ensembl:lncRNA TMLHE-AS1 TMLHE antisense RNA 1
UGUUGCUGUCGCUUUAGUGACUCUUCUCUGCCACACGCUUCCUGUGCCUUUGCCUUCCUCUGGUGUGAUUCGGCAGGAAGACCAAAGAGGGGAAAAAGAAGUCACGGGCACCCCUUUGGGACCUACAAUCAGAGAGGAAGGUUACUUUCCUUCAGAGCUUUAAUCACCUGAAGGCCCUGGCGGCUGCCACUGUCACUGUCACUGCCUCUGUCACCACCACUGCUGCCACAGGAUUGCCUGUGGGCUAGAACAUGAAAGUACAAAGAAAAGAAGAAAGAAAAACUGGGGAUUCCCUUAACUAUCGCUGAGGGCUCAGAAGUGGAAAAAUAUGAAGAUCCAUUGCUGAUGGGAAUCCUGCCCUAAGCAAACGGUGUGUACUAAAGGGAGCACAUUGUUGAGAAGGACCGGUUGCAAAUUUCCAAAAAGGAGAGUAAAAUAAUUAAUGAGUCAAGGUCUCAGGAGAGACAGAAGGAUGACUUACAACUUAAGUGUCUCCCUUUGUGGGAGGAAUCCCAGCUAUAGCCUAGUGGACCAUUCACCCAGGGAUCUUCAAUCAUUCGUUCAACCCUAACAUUUAUAUGCGCACCAGCUACAUGCUAGGCAGUGCGUCAGGCAUUAAAGAUACAAGGACGAAUACAGCAGACACGACCUCAGUCUUUGGACAGAGUUUACCUUCUAUUGAGGAAGAUAGAUGAUAAACAAGUAAUAAAUACAUAAACAAAGUAAUUUCAGCUAGCUAUAAAUGCUAUGAAAAAAUAAUAGUGUUAUAUAAUAAAGAGCGACUGGGAAAUCUAUUUCACAUGGAGUGUUAAGUGAAGGACUUUUUGAAGAAGCGACAUUUGAGCUGUUACCUGUAUGAUACGAGACCAACAAUGUAACAAGCUGAGGGGAGAGCAUUCCAGGCAAAGGGAAAAGCAAAAACACAGCCUUGGAGUGGAAUGGAGUUUUAUUCUGUUUGCCGACCAGUAAGAAGGUCACGUGGCUGGAGCUGAGUAAGCAAGGGGAAUAAUGGUGGGAGAAAUUACGUGGAGGAGGUAGUCAGGGGCUAGAUCAUGUAUAUAUUGCCAUGCAGGCCAUGGUAAGGACUUUGGAUUUUAUUCUGAGUACCAUGGGAAGCCACUGAAAAACCUUGCCUAAGAUAAUGGGUUUCUGUUUUGCCUAAGGCAAAUUAACUUUUUACUGAAGUAUACUAUACAUUACGGAAAAAGUACACAAAUCGUAAGCUUGAUGAAUUUUCAUGAUGUAAUCGCAUCCAUAUCACUAGCACCCAGGUCAAUAAACAGAUCAUUACCAGAACCCCAGAACCCUCCCUUAUGCCCCUUUCCAGUAACGCCCAUCCCCCAACCCACGGGUAACUACCAUCCUGACUUCUAUCACCAAAGAUUAGUUUUGCCUGUUUAUAUAAAACUUUAUAUAAUUGCAAUCACAAUAUGUAUUCAUUUUGUGUCUGGCUUCUUUCAUUUAAUAUUAUGUUUAGGAGUUUCAUCAUUGCUUAGCAAUAGUUUAUUGGUGCUAUAUGGAAGUUGAGUGCGUGAUCACACCACAGUUUAUCCAUUCUACUGUUGAUGGACAUAUGAGUAAUUUCCGGUUUGGAACUACUACAAACAGUGCUGUUAUGAACAUUCUAUUACAUGUCUUUUGGUGAACAAAUAUAUUCACUCCUAUUUGAAAUAAACUUAAGAAUGGAACUUAUGGAUCAUAA